rnacentral:rRNA from 1 species
CCUACGGGUGGCAGCAGUGGGGAAUAUUGCACAAUGGGGGGAACCCUGAUGCAGCGACGCCGCGUGAGCGAGGAAGUAUUUCGGUAUGUAAAGCUCUAUCAGCAGGGACGAAAAAAGACGGUACCUGACUAAGAAGCCCCGGCUAACUACGUGCCAGCAGCCGCGGUAAUACGUAGGGGGCAAGCGUUAUCCGGAUUUACUGGGUGUAAAGGGAGCGUAGACGGCAAGGCAAGCCAGAAGUGAAAGGGCAGGGCUCAACCCUGUACAUGCUUUUGGAACUGUGGUGCUAGAGUGCAGGAGAGGUAAGUGGAAUUCUUGGUGUAGGGGUAAAAUCCGUAGAGAUCAAGAGGAAUACUCAUUGCGAAGGCGACCUGCUAGAACAUAACUGACGCUGAUGCGCGAAAGCGUGGGGAGCAAACAGGAUUAGAUACCCGGGUAGUC